GACGAACGCUGGCGGCGUGCUUAACACAUGCAAGUCGAACGGAAAGGCCCUGCUUUUGUGGGGUGCUCGAGUGGCGAACGGGUGAGUAACACGUGAGUAACCUGCCCUUGACUUUGGGAUAACUUCAGGAAACUGGGGCUAAUACCGGAUAGGAGCUCCUGCUGCAUGGUGGGGGUUGGAAAGUUUCGGCGGUUGGGGGUGGGCUCGCGGCUUAUCAGCUUGUUGGUGGGGUAGUGGCGUACCAAGGCUUUGACGGGUAGCCGGCCUGAGAGGGUGACCGGCCGCAUUGGGACUGAGUUACCGCCCAGACUGCUCCGGGAGGCCGCGGUGGGGAAUAUUGCACCAUGGGCGGACGCCUGAUGCAGCAACGCCGCGUGCGGGAUGACGGCCUUCGGGUUGUAAACCGCUUUCGCCUGUGACGAAGCGUGAGUGACGGUAAUGGGUAAAGAAGCACCGGCUAACUACGUG
rnacentral:rRNA from 1 species